rnacentral:rRNA from 1 species
CCUACGGGUGGCUGCAGUGGGGAAUAUUGGACAAUGGGCGAAAGCCUGAUCCAGCCAUGCCGCGUGUGUGAAGAAGGCCUUCGGGUUGUAAAGCACUUUCAGUGGGGAAGAAAGCCUUGGGGCUAAUACCCUCGAGGAAGGACAUCACCCACAGAAGAAGCACCGGCUAACUCCGUGCCAGCAGCCGCGGUAAUACGGAGGGUGCGAGCGUUAAUCGGAAUUACUGGGCGUAAAGCGCGCGUAGGCGGUCUGAUAAGCCGGUUGUGAAAGCCCCGGGCUCAACCUGGGAACGGCAUCCGGAACUGUCAGGCUAGAGUGCAGGAGAGGAAGGUAGAAUUCCCGGUGUAGCGGUGAAAGGCGUAGAGACCGGGAGGAAUACCAGUGGCGAAGGCGGCCUUCUGGACUGACACUGACGCUGAGGUGCGAAAGCGUGGGUAGCAAACAGGAUUAGAUACCCUAUAGUC